UAUAUUUAUUUGAUAAACGAUUUCAAAGAUAUUCAUCGAUACAUACUUGCACGCGUCUCAGCAUUUUCUUUCAUACCCGACUGUUGACCGACUGAACAAUUUACAUUCCUUUGUUUUCGAGACGCCGCGCACACACAUACUUCCACACGUUGAUAUUCGCAUACAAGUAUUACUACUACGCAGCUAACUUAGUCUAGCACGUAAAAUUAUACAUAUCUGAAUAUUAUCAGGUAUUAUUAGGCUGA